rnacentral:tRNA from 1 species
GCAGUCGUGGCCGAGUGGUUAAGGCGUCUGACUUGGAAAUCAGAUUCCCUCUGGGAGCGUAGGUUCGAGUCCUGGCCGACUGCG